CUAAGAAAUGAUUUUCCAGUUCAGCCUCGUAUCCCCUUUAAUCAAACAAGUAACAUCUACAGUAGAAGACAAGAAAGACACGAGAGUUAGUUAAGGGGGGUACAGCCCCCUUAACCAAGGAUACAACUUUAGCAGGAGGAUACGGAUUAUAAUUAAAAAAAUUAUUGUUUCAGUGGGCCUAAAAGCAGCCACCUGCAUAGAAAGCGUUAAAGCUCAGACGAUUAGAAAUUUAUUAUAUCAAUAAAAUAUCCCACUCCCCUAAAUAUAUUAGGCCACUCCAUAAUCCCAUGGAAGAGAUUAUGCUAAAAUGAGUAACAAGAGAUAAAUACAUCUCUCCAAGCACAAGUGUAAACCAGCCCGGAUAAACCACUGGUAAUUAACGAACCCCAACAUAAGAGGGUAAUGUAAUUAAUAAGAAUAACAAGAAAAUUAUGCAACUUAUAAUCGUUAAACCCACACUGGAGUGCCUUAAGGAAAGACUAAAAGAAAGGGAA
rnacentral:rRNA from 1 species